GGUUAUGUCUGUCUCCACGCCACUUAAUUAACAUGGACUCCUUGGCGCUUCUAGUCUGCUAGAGCUACGGGCUCUCGAACAGUUGUUUCAUAUCCAUGUCAGAAGGCAAAGAUUUCCAAUUGUACCUAUGCAUGUGUUGUUCAAGGGACGGCUUGGACUAUUGGAAUGGUACUUCGCGAGUCGCUCUCCAUGAGAUCGAGUCUAUAUAUUAUCAAUCAAUCUCCAUCAACAUGAAUCUUCCUUGCGGGACAAGUACUUGACGAUCUAUAUAUAUGUAUAUACGAACUACCGAGGUUAUUCCCAAGGCAAGGCAAAGUAGCCCCCUGCAUUAGUCUCUUCCACACUUUACACAAUUACAGUCAUUGUUAUGGGGAGAUAUUUGUGUACAACUGCAGGAGCUUUGGUAAUCCUUGCAAUCAUAUGGUGCUCCCUGUGGUGCUCAUCAGCCAUCCGAGUACAACAGGAAGGAGACCGUCCGCCAUCUGCUCCUCCGGCGCCGAUACCUGGGCCACCAGUUGGCUGCCGGGCCACCGCAUGCGAAGGGCCACCGGGGACGACGGCAGUUGAAGCGCCGCAGCGCAAGACCCUGCAGCUGCAGGAUGUGGCGAAUUGAACGUCCCUUACGGUUUUGUAUGAGACAUAUUUUAGGGGUACUGAUGUAUGGUAAUCAUAUUUUAUGAUACAUGUUUUAGGGGAGCUUGAAUCUAGAAAGAUAUAGCUUACGCACCCAACCGUUUUAGGGGUGCUGAUGUUCAUAGCUAUAAGUAUAUUUUGUAUGGUAAUCGUAUUCUAUUCGUGAAUUUUAAAUAGCAAGUAAGCAUUUCUAAGGAUACGAGGCGGGAGAUCAACCUUUAAGGCGGUUCUCAUCAUGUGUUUCACA